UACAGAGGGUGCGAGCGUUAAUCGGAAUUACUGGGCGUAAAGCGUGCGUAGACGGUUAUUUAAGUCGGAUGUGAAAGCCCCGGGCUCAACCUGGGAAUUGCAUUCGAGACUGAAUAGCUAGGGUGCGGUAGAGGGAAGCGGAAUUUCCGGUGUAGCGGUGAAAUGCGUAGAUAUCUGGAGGAACACCGAUGGCGAAGGCAGCCCCUGGGUAACAC
rnacentral:rRNA from 1 species